rnacentral:piRNA from 1 species
UAAAAUGUACUCUUUAGAGGAACUGGCCUU